UUUUAUACCCCACUCCAGUAGGUGGCAGUGUGUGGAGAUGUAGGCUGUGUUUGGGACUGGUGACGAGAAUGUUUGCGGAAGUGCCACAUUGUUUCCACGAGAUAAGCAGGCAUAGACAGAUAUUUAUAAGCAAAUUAUAUCUGGUCCAGCAGGAGAAUCUUACUUAGUUGAAUAAAAGUGUUUAAUUUUGUCUAUCCAUGUUAGCUAGACACCUGGUUGUUGUUGAACACGUUGUGAUAUGUUAAUUAAAUUGAUUUAAGUUAGCGGAAAUGAGUAUGCAUCUUGAUAGCUAUGGCGUUCGGCUCUGUAUACAAGCCAAGGUUACUUUCCAUUGCAUUGGGUUUAUUUCUGUUAGGUUACCUUUUUAGCUAGAUCUGACUGAAUAGAAGACCAGGGGGGAAACAAAUCAGCCAGAUUUAGAGUUUUGUUCAAGUAGUGUCUGGUAACCAGCGGUGAGCCUUCAGGUCUAUCUGAUAGCCUCCAGGCUUGGCACACUGUCACUGACCCACAGUGUCUACAAGAAGCUAUCGACAUGCAAGCAGCGAUGCCUGGAUGGAACCGAGGCAGACACACAGGGCCUCGGCCCACAAAGACAGUGGGAGGGAGGAGGUUGGAAGAAGAUAUGGGUGACAAGGUCCAGGCUGGGCUCAGUUGAGUAACAUCUAUCCUAAAACUGAACCAUAGGCAUAGCCUGGUUCCACAUCUGUUUAAGCGGUCUUUCUGACAACCACCAUGAGACAUUUGGUAACGCAAACUGAUCUGGGACCACCAGGCUAUUGAAGGGUGCCUAUCCUAAUGUACGAUACCUGUUACUGUAGCGGAAUGACAUGUUGAUGUGCUGGUUAAAAGCACUGCCACAAUGGUAGCUUACAUGGUACACUAGCCACUUUCACCCUGUCAGUGAUCGGUCCACACUGCAUCUAAGAUAAAUAUAUGAUAUUAUCAAGUCAUCACUCCACACUCUAGGCCUAAUGCCGACUGUCACCUUCCCUGUUUUCAGUGAAGAGAGGAGACAGGACGGUGAAGUACCAUAGAGUCAGGAGACAGCUGACUGAGUCUAAAGCUCCAGUGAGGAGGCUGAACUGGGACGCCAUGUAGAAGAUCAGGUGAAGAAGCUCCAGUGAGGAGGCUGAGCUGGGACGCCAUGGAACAGAUCAGGUGAAGAAGCUCCAGAGAGGAGGCUGAGCUGGGACGCCAUGCAGCAGAUCAGGUGAAGAAGCUCCAGAGAGGAGGCUGAGCUGGGACACCAUGUAGAAGAUCAGGUGAAGAAGCUCCAGAGAGGAGGCUGAGCUGGGACGCCAUGGAACAGAUCAGGUAUCUGAAGCAGGAGCUACCAGAGGAAUGGACCGUUGGCCAUCUGGCUGAGGGCUUCUCCUUCCAUCGUGACAUCUUCCUCAGAGUCCUCCGGAGCAAGUUCAUCCCCACCCCAGAGAGGAAAGCUAAACAGGACUCCAGCGUGUGGGCCAGGCUGAGACAGCAGGUCCUACCUAGAGGUGGGACAGGGGAAGCAGCAGCGGGACCUACCUGGGGGUGGAGGAACAGGGGGACAGGGUAGGCAGCAGGCCCUACCUGGAGGUGGGACAGGGUAGGCAGCAGGCCCUACCUGGAGGUGGGACAGGGGAGGCAGGAGUGGGACCUACCUGGAGGUGGGACAGGGGAGGCAGCAGUGGGACCUACCUGGGGGUGGAGGGACAGGGUAGGCAGCAGGCCCUACCUGGUGGUGGAGGAACGGGGACAGGGAAGGCAGCAGGUCUUACAGGGGGACGGGGUAGGCAGCAGGCCCUACCUGGGGGUGGAGGGACCAGGUAGGUAGCAGGCCCUACCUGGGGGUGGAGGAACAGAGGGACUGGGUAGGCAACAGGUCCUACCUGGGGUUGGAGGAACUGGGUAGGCAGCAAGUCCUACCUGGGGGUGGAGGUGGGACAGGGUAGUCAGCAGCUGCCUGGCUCUGGCCACAGCAGCAGUAGCACACUAGCCAUGCCAUCCAAAGGAAGUGGCACCGGUGCCUUGGUCCUCCUGACCAGCCAAAGUCUGAUACCCAGGGAGGGGAGGAUUGCCCUAGAUCCAUGACUAUUGGAAACAGCCCUGCUCCUCUGGCCUCACUACCCACCCGCUCUCAACCUUACCCACCCUGCACAGCAGACGCACCUCAGGACAAGAUAACUCUAGAGAGGAGUGGGAGGAGGAAGAGGAGAAAGAUCCAGAGGACAAUGUGUCGGAGAAGGUUGAGGAGAAAGACGAGCAGAUGGAGAGAUGGAACAGUGUUAUCAGAGGAAGAAGUGGAGGAACUAAUGCGGUCUACAAAGCUCUGGCCUGUGGUACAGAAUGGAAAAUAGUUAUUUUCUUCUGAGGGAAACUUCCUGUGCCGACUCUGAAGUUGAGAUGUUUAUAUGUUCAAAUGUAUUUAUAUAGCCCUUCUUACAUCAGCUGAUAUCUCAAAGUGCUGUACAGAAACCCAGCCUAAAACCCCAAACAGUGCAGAAGCACGGUGGCUAGGAAAAACUCCCUAGAAAGACCAAAGCCUAGGAAGAAACCUAGAUAGGAACCAGGCUAUGAGGGGUGGCCAGUCCUCUUCUGGCUGUGCCGGGUGGAGAUUAUAACAGCACAUGGCCUGUUGAUGAUUUCUCUGUAAUGCAGUAAUAUACAACCUUUAUUUAAAGAUGAGACUGAUAAUGCCACAUUAUUUACCAAUUAUCUGAUGGUUUGAUUUUACAUUCUUGUAUCAUCACGUUGUUUUUCUGAACGUUAACAAAAUAAAAUCUACUCUUAAGCAAUAUAUAUGAGCAGAAAACUUCUAGGAACAAGUUGAUUUAUUAGCCAAUAACCCAAAGCAAAAAUCACCUCAAAUAUAUUUAACUACACAGCAGAUACAAAAGAUGCAAUGAUUCCAGAACGGCCUCACAUUGUAUUAUUACUUUAUACAGCCAUUUAAAAAAUGUAAGAAGUGUCACCUUUCAAAUCUCAAUACAUAAAACCUUCAUGAGUUAAAUAUGAAUGAAUCAUUCAGAACGAGUGUCUUCCCAGUGUUUUAGCAGCUACAUUACGGCUUGGCUCUGCCAAUUGAGAUUUAGCUAAUUUCAACCCUGUGCAAAUGUGGGUAUAGUAAUGUA